AAGACUAUAAUUUACACAUUGUAGAAAUUCUUUAACUUUUAGCUAGUCCUGCAACAUCCGACUGAACUAUGCAUUGGCAUCUACACAUUUUUGCUUUUUUUAGGUAUUGUUAUUGACCUUUGUUACUUUUUCUUGUCAGAAGCGUUUCUUUUAAAUACGACUUGGAUUUUAGUUAAACAACACACAUUGGCUAAGCAUGAUAAAUGGAAAUGCAGAGUACCAUAACCUCGGAGUUACUGCCUCUUUUCAAAGUAAUAAUUUCCCAUUCCUGCAGGGUUCAUUCCUGCAGGGUUCGCAAGUACUGGAAUUUAGAAUGUUGAAUGAAAAGUCCUUAAAUUUGCAAAACACUCCUUAGAACUACUUUAAAUUUGUUUUUGCAUUGAAAACUGCUUGAAAAGUGCUUGUAUUUUCCAAAACUGUCCUAAAUUUUUCAUGUUUGCUGCAAAUGAAGUGUUUGUAGUAAUAAAGGUACAUCUUUAAAAAAAACUUUGAUAUUCGCAAACUUCCCUAGUAACUCUUUGCUAUUUGAAUAUGUUAUGGUGUGUUACUGUACUGUCUGCUUAAUAAUCUCUCAGAGGCAUUAGGCAAUGAAUUGAAGGGACAAUUCACACGGUGAUGAUGCAUAGCGGAUUCUUUCCGUCCACAUUUUUCAUUUGCUGGUUCUAUCCGGCACCGGUGCGGAUUCUAUCCGUGAAAAUCACAAUAAAGGAUUCUACAUACUGUCAAAGAAGACUUCAGAUUAUGAAAUGGACCUCGAAGACGAACUGAAUUUUUUUGGGUUCGAAUUAACCGAAAUCGAGGUUGCAGGGACGAGUAAAAUCGGGGAUGACAUCAAAAGCGACGACACAAAUACCUUGGAUAAGAACAUGGACGCUAACUGUUCCAUUUGUGAAACCGGGGUUGGAGGGAGAAGUGAACCCCAGAAUGCCGACAACAAUAAUUGCAGCAACAAUUAACAACAACAGCAAUGAGAAUCAAACAUUGGAUAAGAGCGUAAACAUUAGUUUAACAUGUUCUAUUUGUGCAACAGUAUGUUCUUUGAAGAGAGCAUUCAGACGUCAUGUAAAUACUCAAAGAACAUCAGAAGACACACUUUCAUGAGAAACCAUUCAUGUGUUCAUGUGGAAAAUCAUUCAAGACAAGAGGGGGGUUAAAUACUCACAAAAGGGAACAUAAGGGGCAGUUUAAGUACAUUUGUGGUAAAUGUUUUAACUAUAAAUCCCAUUUUGAGGGACAUAAGGCAUCCCAUUCAAAGGAAAAACCAUUCAAGUGUAAUUUCUGCGACCGUGUGUAUUCAUAUCAACCUAAUCUUGCAAGACAUAAGUGCGGUCAUACUAUUGACUGAGUUCCUGUAAAUAUUGUGGAAAGAACUUUAAAUCCCAGCGCUAUCUGAAAAAGCAUGAAAUGGGACAUACUAACCCGGAACGCUACUAGUGUGCAAUAUGUGGUACAUUCUUUAAAUACAGAGUGACUUUUUACAAGCAUAAGAAACACACAGGAAAUAAUUAAUUGACAGGAGUUCAACUUUGAAUAAAGGUGGAUGUUUCUUUGUAAAAAAUUGAUCAUGUAUAGCUUACAUAAAUAAUUUUCAAGAGUACCUUGUUAUGGCUGAACAAAUUAAUGCUGUGGUUUCGGUGAAGUGAAACCAAUUCAUUUUAGGAAUUAUUGAUUGUGUUAUUAGUACAUUCGUUUUUGUUUUCGUCCAUGCAAUGCUCAUACAGAUUUGAACGAUUUCACUAAAAACAAAGUAGAUGGGGUAACUGGAACCACAACAUUUAUUAUUGUACGCCAAGGUGGGCCAGUCAGGAAACAAAGCCUUCAUCUAUUGCAGCAAUCUUAUAUGUUUUCUCUUUAUUAUUUCCCUUUAUAAAAAUGCCUAGGUGGUAUCAUGUAAAUGUUUUAUACGCUCAGCUUGUGAGUUAUGUUGAUUUUUGUUUUCACUGUUACAGUAUGUUUGUUUUUAGCUUGACUAUAAAAAAGAAGAGCUAUACUACUCACCCAAGCGUCGGCGUCGGUGUCACACCUUGGUUAAGGUUUUGCAUGUAAGCACCUUUGAGUUAUUAUCUCAGUAAAUAUAUCAUGUAUUGCAUUGAAACUUUAGAUAUGUAUUCAUAAGUAUCUAACCUACUAAAUUAAAGAAGUUAGAUAACAACUUUUUGAAUAUAAUGCAAAUUAUGGACCUUUAUUAUUUGACUUGGAAAUACUGGUUCAGGUUUUGCAUUUAAGCACACAUAGGUUAAUAUCUCAUCGACUACUUGAUGUAUUGCAUUGAGACUUUAUACAAUGGUACUCAACCAUCCAGUCUACUUAAAUAACCAAUUAAGAUAAGUCUAGUUUGCAUUAAAUUCAAAUUAGGGCCCUUUUUAUUCGACAUAGAAAUUCAAAUACAUCAUCUAUUGCAUUGAAACUUUAUGCACGGGCUCCCAACCAUUCAACCUUCAUAACAAAUCAGGAAAGAUAACUCUAUCGUGCAUAUUAUAUAAGUUUUGCCCCUUUAUUAUGCGACUUAGAAAUUCUGGUUAAGGUUUUGCAUAUAUGCACACAUAGGUAAAUAUCUCAGCAACUACUUGAUGUAUUGCAUUGAGACUUUAUAAAAUGGUACUCAACCACACAACCUACUUGAAUAACCAAGUUAGAUAAAUGAAUUUUGCAAAAACAGCCCUUUAUUAUUAGCAAAGUUUAUCGAAGUCAUUUGAGGAUUUAUUUGUCCUUUACCGAUAUCCAACUUUUCGGUUGGUGUUUUCAUUCCAGCCAUAAAACGUAGUGCUUUGCCGUGAAAUAGUCAAUACAACACCUUCCAGAAUUUCAAACAAUCUUCUGAGUAAUACAUCUGAGAGGUUUUAUCUACAGAAUACCACUUGACAACAUCAAGAAAUAGCAAAAGUGAUAUAUUGUUCAGAGGAAACUUGUCAGUGUUAACUAAUCGAAGAAAAUCGCAGAAGGGUGUAAAAAGCCCCAAUUUGUUUAAUUUAUUGAGAACACUUGGCAAAAUUUUCAGCAUUUCUUUUUGUAUAUCUUCGGAGACAUUGCUUUCGAAAAGUAUCCUCCAUGAUUUCUUCGAACGUUGUUUCGAUGGGGGGCAGCAAUCAGUGAACUAACAUCCGGGCGAUUUGCGGCAUUAGAAGUGCUCGAAGGUGUUGCAUUUGUUGAUUGAAUUUUUCUUUUUUUAUGUUCUACGUUCUGUUUAGAGAAACAUUAGAUCUUCUUUUCCGACUGCAAACAAAUAAACAAAAACAGCAUAUCAAAUCAUGGAUAGAAUCUGGUGCGAGUGACAAAAUAUAUCCGGUGCCCAAAUUUCUUUACAUACGCUCAUAAUAGAUAGAAUCCGGAGCUUCGCUAAACCGAUAAGGGAGGACUGCAUUUCCAUUUUUUUAUCCCUGAUAUUAUAUGCAAAAGCAGGAAAUUAAAUAAUACCUACUUCGAUACCUUAUUUCAACAGUUAAACGUAUUUAUCAGUAUGCAAAUAUCUCAUAAUACAUACAUUUUAACGUUUCUUUUGUGUGGUAGUAGCUGUCAGAAUCAUGAUCGCUGUUUUAUUUUCAUUCGUUUAGAUAAAUAAAAACUUAUGGGACUUUCAUUUUUGUUUUUUUUAGUCGAUAUUAAAUGGAGUUAUUCUUUAGAAAUCAAAUCACACACAUACUUACAUCACUUGCUGUUUAUUUAAACGAUUUAAAAUAUAAACAAAACGGAUAGAUCCGCACCGGUGCCGGAUAGAACCAGCAAAUGAAAAAUGUGGACGGAAAGAAUCCGCUAUGCAUCAUCACCGUGAUUCAAGAUUUGAUAGGUUAACUACAGUACUGUUAAGACCAAACUUUACACUCUUGUUCACUAGGAGUGCACUCGUAGUGAACAAUUUGUGCACUAUGGAUAAACUAUUGUAGUCUAUAGUCUAUUAGAUAAGCCAGUAUUGAUUUUCCUGGUCCACUCAGAUUGGUCUUACUAUAUUGAUUUAAUUUUACUGAUAAGAUCAUUUCCUCAAGCAGUUACAGUUUACUGAUGACUUUAUGAUGUUAAUCAUUUAAUGGGCCGGUAACUAAAGACAAGGGGUUUCUACCCGUCAUUUACUGAUUAUAUUUGUCAAUUUUUUAAUUCUAAUGUAGGUGAAAUGAGAAUAAAACAUUUCUUAAAUAAAUUUCUUUGUAAGCCAAUAUUUGAAAAUAGGGGUGAUAUAAAUAUAAUUGUGCUACAAUUAUAACAUCCAAAUAAUUAUGAUUUUUUUGGUAAUUCAGACAUUUAUUUAAAGUGAAUUAGUGAUUACAAAAUAAUAAUUCUGAAUCCUACGUAUAUAAGAGAACAGCACUUUUAUAUUCAAACUGUGAACGCAAAACCAAUGUUUAAGAUAAAAAAGUAAUUGUGAUUUAAAGAUGUUGAAAAAAAAGACUUUGCCUUAAUUAAAAUGAUUUAAAAACAGUAGCUCAGGCUUUUUCAUAUGCAUUACAUUAUAACUUCAUCAAAAAGUUAAUAAAUACUAAUCUAAAUGAUAUUGCAAUUGUCUGUAACUAUCAUGAAUAGAUGUUAUGUAACUAUACUCACGAUUUAUUUCAUUACUUUUCAAACAUUAACAUCUUAAAAGCCUAGUUUGAGCAUUUGAUACUGAAUGUAUCUACUUAUUUUUGUCUAUAAAAAGAGCACAAAAGGAAAUUAUCCUACCAAAUGGUAGACUAACCAGGCAUUAAAAUUAAUUGAAUUUUAGCAAAAUGAUAAAAUGCUUGUUCAUACUUUUGUGAUGAGAUUGUAACAGUGUUAGCCCCGAUAGGUCGGAACCAAUAAACACAGGAAGUAUCAGGAACCCUGCUGUGAUAACAUUAAAAAUGGCAAAAGAGGAAAGUAUCCUAUGCAUCCAACCAUUAAGCAGGCAUUACUAUGAAUGAGUUCCUAUUAAACUUGCUAUUUGAUGUAAAAAUACAUGAUAUGCAUGACAUAAAAUAAACUAUACAAUUUGAAAAGUGUCCUAAAGAAAUAGUACUUUUAUUUUAUAAUGCAGUUGCAACACAAAAUAUAAUAAAUAUGGCCUAUUUCCUAUCUUUUAUCAAAACAUAUUUGUUUACAUCUCUUCUCUAAAACAAAAUUCUUAAAAAAUAUAUUGAGUUUCCUUCGAAGGCCUAGUUUUAGGAAUGAUUGUCAUGAUAAUUCUUUGCUGUGUAUCCCUUGUUUAUUGCACUAGUGUUAUAGCAGGGCCAAUUUCCUGUGUAUUUGUUUAUUUGCCCGGGGCCAUUUAGAGGUGACACCAUUUAGAGUAGAAAAUAGCAUUCUCUAUAAUACACAACCAAUUCUUGCAUAAACAAUAAAUGCAUAGCCAAUGUAUUAAUUUGACUGAUGGGAAGUAAAUAAUAAACAAAUAAAGUUAAAAGGGUUUCAUUCCAUUUAUGUUCUAUAAUAUAAAUGAUAUUAAUUGGAUAUUAUAAAAAUAUCUAACAUUACUCUUAUUCUUACUCUAAAGCAUCGUAAUAAUGCCUUUAAUAUGAUUUAAAAAAUUAUAAAAAAUAGACUAGUCAAACACUGACAGAUCUGAGAUUUGACAAACAGCAGGAGGCAAUAAAGAUAAAGAUCAAUACACAGAAUUGUGUACCAUGGGGCACUUAAAGAAGGCUUAAAUUAGCCUUCAAUGGAUAGUUUUUCAUUUGAUAAUGAAGCAGCAGAACCAAUUAUACAAAACUUGAAUCAACAAUGGUACAACAAUUUCACAGUUUGAGCUUGGAACAAUAAGGCGUGAACUUUAAUGAUUAACUAUUUCAAAUAACGAACAACUUGUAAUUAUCACCUUGUGAAAUUUAUUGUUUUACUUUAAAUAAAGGCUCGUGAAUUCCUUUCAUUGUUAUGUUCAAUAAGUGUUUGAAGAUGAAACCCAUUAUCCCAGAACCAAAAUGAUAUCAUUAUACCUAUCAAUUAAUAUCAAAAUAAUGCAAUGCAUAUUUCAAAAGAAAACAAAAAAACAUUUAAAUAUCUUUGUUUGCCAUUUUUUUUUUAUAAAACAAUAUCAGUUAUUUAAAUUUAUAAAUCUAUAUUAUUUACAUGAAAGGUCCAAAUGGUUUAUAAGUAUUCUCUAUAUAUUAAUUAACAUUAAAACAUCUGUUUAAACUACACUCAUCAUUCUAAGUUUCACUGUAAAGAUAGCUUUUAUGAUAGACUGAAGAAACCUUAUCUGGUCAGCCCCUUGUCUGCAUUUAGUCUUUCCCUUGUCUUCCCCUUGUCUUUCCCUUGUCUUACCCUAGUGCUCUUCUAUUACUUGUAUUUCAAUUUCGGCAAGUUUUUGAACUAGGUGCCACGAAAUGUUUUUGGAUAUUGAUUCUUUUUUCUAUCUCAUUUUUUUAUUCUUUUCUUAGAAUAAAAUAAAAUAAUAGAAAUAAGCAUUCAGUGUAAUGUACAUCGCAUUAAUGAUAAUAGCCACAAAAUCAGAAAAUAUAAGCCCAGUUCUAAAGUAUAUGCUUUAUCUUACAAAAUUAUUACAUUAACAUCGUCAUCCUUGUGUAAUUACUUUGUGCCUUAUAACAUGUAAUAUAUAUUGCUGUACAUACUGUAUAUAUGACCGUUUGUUUGUUAAAUAUGUUUACAUCACUUUCGGGUGGAAAUAAAGAGAAUAAUACUGUCAAGUUUGGUCUUAACAGUAUCCCGGAACAACGGGUUUUCGACCGCCUAAGGAUUAUUUACAUUUUAAUCAUCAAUAAGUGAUAAUAAAAAAUAAAUGUUUGUGUGUAACAUUUAAAGCAAUCAUUCAUCUUUCAAAAAACAAAAAAAUAAAAUCUGUUUCAAUCGUCUGUUGUUUAUAUUUUGAAUCCAAAAUGGCGGCUGUCACAUGUUGUAUUUGACCUAGAUACAACAUGCUUUCGACCUUUAAUUAUACUUCGCAACAAAAGUUUGUGCACAAUAUUUUUUAUUUUAAUUUGUAUAACUUGUUUAAACUGAUUAAUGUAUUUUAUUUAAAAAAAAAGUAAUUAAAUAUUUACAUAUUUGCCAUACAGUCACUUUUUAGUUACCUGUCACCACGAGAGGGGCAAAGGAAUGUAUCAUCCCUUCAAAUGGCUUUCACAUGGGUACAAAAUGAUAAAUUCACCCAUCAUGAACCCUAUUAUCACUGGUCCAACUCUGAAUGAGCCUCAUAUGACCUGCCUAGGCUGCAAUAUGUAUAAUUUUAUGGUAACUGAGCGCCCAAAUGCAAUUCAAUAUAGUUACCUGUAGAUAAAUUUCAUUAAUUUUAGAAUAAGCAACAUACCAUAUUUUGAUGCGCUUUUAAUGUUGUGCACUAUGCUUAGAAAACAAUAGGGCAUAGGUUUUAGGCUUUGGUAAAUAUGUAAGAACUGGCAAACAAAAACAACUAUUUUACAUGUGAAAUCAUUUUAAAAGAAGGGUCUAAUUUGGCAUUAAUUAAAAAUGACAAAUUGGUGUUGUUUCAAGUAUGUUUUUUUAACACUACCAUUCCCAUUCUUUUUCAAAUGAAGUUUUGUGACAGUUCUACUGUUAUGGUUAACAAUUGGAGCUUAUUUUUACCGGAAGUGACGCAAAAUAGAAGUGUUUUACCCAUUUUCAGGAGGCGGUCGAAAAUAGGUUGUGGUCGAAAAUAGGUUGUUCCGGGAUACUGUAUGUCACAACUAUGUGUUUUUUUCAUGCUUUGCUAUUAAUUAGUCUUUGAAAAUAUUAUAUAUUGAUUUUGUUGAGGCCUGUGCAAGAGAAGCAUUACUUAGUGAAUGGGAUUUAUUUCUUUUUGGAAUUGCUUAAUGGCCAUUGGUUUAUUUAUUAAAAUCAAAUUCUAAUUAUAACAUGACAAAUAAUGAACAAGAAAAUCGUGACAUAAAACUAUAUCAUAGUAAAACAUUGUAUUUGUAUGAGCUAACAUAUAACUGUAACUUUAUAACAAUAAAUAUUUUUUA